rnacentral:rRNA from 1 species
CCUACGGGGGGCUGCAGUGGGGAAUAUUCCGCAAUGGGCGAAAGCCUGACGCAGCGACGCCGCGUGAGGGAUGAAGGUCUUCGGAUCGUAAACCUCUGUUAGCAGGGAAGAACGGUCACUGUGCUAAUCAGCAGUGAAUUGACGGUACCUGCCAAGGAAGCAACGGCUAACUCCGUGCCAGCAGCCGCGGUAAUACGGAGGGUGCGAGCGUUAAGCGGAAUUAUUGGGCGUAAAGCGAGCGGAGGCGGUAUGUCAAGUCUAGGGUGAAAUCCCCGGGCUCAACGGGGGAGGGGCCUUGGAAACUGGGAGACUGGAGUGUAGAAGAGGAGAGUGGAAUUCCAGGUGUAGGGGUGAAAUGCGUAGAUAUAUGGAGGAACAUCAGUGGCGAAGGCGACUAUCUGGUACGUAACUGACGCUGAGGAGCGAAAGCGUGGGGAGCAAACAGGAUUAGAUACCCGGGUAGUC